UUUGUGCAAAGAACAUAAGAAAUAAAGAAAAAAUAAAAGGGAGACUCCCUUUUCUCUGCUAGGGUUCCAAACCAGAAACCCCGCCGCCAUCAAGCCUCCACUGCCAGGUGGCCAGAGCCAUGCGAGGACGCCUCCUCUCGGCGCAUUGAAGCGCAUUCAGAGGUCGAGGCUAUGGAAGCAAAGGGAAAGAGAAGAGCUUUGGCCCCUCUCCAAACCCACAUCCGACAACGGUGAAGCGCCAUCAACGGCGGGCCUAAGGGCCGAUUUAGGUAACUCUUUUCUUUUCGCUUUUUUUAUUUUUUUACCUUAAAAUAGAUUUGAAAUAAAAUAAAAAAUAAUAAUAACUAUGAAAAAGAGAACGGAAAGAACAGUUCUUUUAAAGAAGAACAACCUUUUGAAACUUCAGUUUCUGAUUUUCGAUUUACUGAUGGGUGUUCGUAAAAAAACUUACAAGAGGAUCAUUUGGCUUUUAUAGCCGAAUCCUAUUAUUAAACUAUCUUCUAUCUACCUAUUUACUGCCAUUGCUGUUAGCAUGCUCUGUGGUUGCAUUCAAUUUCUUUGCAGGUAGCAGUGGUAGAGGCGGCCGAGGUGUCAGACGCAGUGGCAGAGGCGUGCGUUGGAGGUGCGGCAGACGAGGAGGCCACGCAUGGAAGCCUGCGGCGCAAAAAAAGGGUUAGGGAUCCUAGGGUUUUCUGAAAAUGUUAAACAUUUUGGGCCAUUGGGUCGCCUAGGUUUUUUUAUUUUGGGUUUGGGCUGUUUGGGCCCUAUUGUAAAUGGACUGGCAUUGGGUUUUAAUUUCUGCUUGAUUUUGGUUUGGGUCAUGUUGGGCCCCGGGCAAAAAUGAGCCAUUACAACAAUGUUAACAAUUGGACUUGAUUUUUAAAUUUGAAAAGUAAAUGGGCCAAAUUCUUAAAAA
rnacentral:lncRNA from 1 species